ACGGGAAGAGCCCAAACCAACAAGCUUGCUUGUUGGGGUUGUAGGACACUCUAUACGGAGUUACAAAGGACGACAUUAGACGAAUCAUCUGGAAAGAUGAAUCAAAGAAGGUAAUAAUCCUGUAGUCGAAAAUGUUGUCUCUCUUGAGUGGAUCCUGAGUACGACGGAGCACGUGAAAUUCCGUCGGAAUCUGGGAGGACCAUCUCCUAAGGCUAAAUACUCUCUAGUGACCGAUAGUGAACCAGUACCGUGAGGGAAAGGUGAAAAGCACCCCGGAAGGGGAGUGAAAUAGAACCUGAAACCGUGUGCUUACAAGUAGUCAGAGCCCGUUAAUGGGUGAUGGCGUGCCUUUUGUAGAAUGAACCGGCGAGUUACGAUUUGAUGCAAGGUUAAGCAGUAAAUGUGGAGCCGUAGCGAAAGCGAGUCUGAAUAGGGCGUUUAGUAUUUGGUCGUAGACCCGAAACCAGGUGAUCUACCCUUGGUCAGGUUGAAGUUCAGGUAACACUGAAUGGAGGACCGAACCGACUUACGUUGAAAAGUGAGCGGAUGAACUGAGGGUAGCGGAGAAAUUCCAAUCGAACCUGGAGAUAGCUGGUUCUCUCCGAAAUAGCUUUAGGGCUAGCCUCAAGUGAUGAUUAUUGGAGGUAGAGCACUGUUUGGACGAGGGGCCCCUCUCGGGUUACCGAAUUCAGACAAACUCCGAAUGCCAAUUAAUUUAACUUGGGAGUCAGAACAUGGGUGAUAAGGUCCGUGUUCGAAAGGGAAACAGCCCAGACCACCAGCUAAGGUCCCAAAAUAUAUGUUAAGUGGAAAAGGAUGUGGCGUUGCCCAGACAACUAGGAUGUUGGCUUAGAAGCAGCCAUCAUUUAAAGAGUGCGUAAUAGCUCACUAGUCGAGUGACACUGCGCCGAAAAUGUACCGGGGCUAAACAUAUUACCGAAGCUGUGGAUUGUCCUUUGGACAAUGGUAGGAGAGCGUUCUAAGGGCGUUGAAGCAUGAUC
rnacentral:rRNA from 1 species